UGGCGAGUGGCGGACGGGUGAGUAACGCGUAGGAAUCUGCCCUAAAGUGGGGGACAACCCGGGGAAACUCGGGCUAAUACCCCAUAAUCUCUCAGGAGUAAAGCUGGGGACCGCAAGGCCUGGCGCUUUAGGAGGAGCCUGCGUCCGAUUAGCUUGUUGGUGGGGUAAAAGCCUACCAAGGCGACGAUCGGUAGCUGGUCUGAGAGGAUGAUCAGCCACACUGGGACUGAGACACGGCCCAGACUCC
rnacentral:rRNA from 1 species